UUACUUUACAAGCCCUUAACCAACAAUGCAGGCUUAAGAAAAAGUGUUAAUUAAGAAAGUAUUUACUAAAAGAAACUGAAGUAAAAAAUAUUAAAAUUAAAUAAAAAACAGAGAGUAGUGGCAGUGUAAAAAUGGGGGGUGGGGACCAUAAAAAUAGUCCGGGUAGUCAUUUGAUUAUCUGCUCAGCAGUCUUAUGGCUUUGGGGUAGAAGCUGCUAAGUAGUCCUUAUGUCAACAUCCACAGGUUGAUCUCUGUUAAGUAGCCCUUAUGUCAACAUCCACAGGUUGAUCUCUGUUAAGUAGCCCUUAUGUCAACAUCCACAGGUUGAUCUCUGUUAAGUAGUCCUUAUGUCAACCUCCACAGGUUGAUCUCUGUUAAGUAGUCCUUAUGUCAACCUCCACAGGUUGAUCUCUGUUAAGUAGUCCUUAUGUCAACAUCUGCAGGUUGAUCUUUGUUAAGUAGCCCUUAUGUCAACUGCCACAAGUUGAUCUCUGUUAAGUAGUCCUUAUCUCAACAUCUGCAGGUUGAUCUUUGUUAAGUAGCCCUUAUGUCAACUGCCACAAGUUGAUCUCUGUUAAGUAGUC
ensembl:lncRNA